CAGCUGCUCUUGAUGAAAACGGCAGUGGCUCUGAAAAGAACCUUUAGGUCGACCACUUAAAAAUAUGCCUUAGGCCCGCUCCCCGCGGAUGCGGCGGGCCAACUGGAUGUCCUUGGGCAUGAUGGUCACGCGCUUGGCAUGGAUGGCGCACAGAUAAGAAAACUGAGUCUCAGAGAAAUUAUGGCUUGUCCUGGCUUUUCCCAGGCAAGUAAAUGCAGGCCACAGUCUGCCAGCUGCCCAACCAUUCAGGCUUUUCAUUAUUAUAGGAAGCAUCUGGCCAAGGACCACCAACAUCUUCCUGUCCUGCCCCUGAAGCU
rnacentral:antisense_RNA from 1 species